rnacentral:rRNA from 1 species
AUGGCAGAUUGUAAACACUGUGGAGCAAAGAGGUUCAAGUACGAGCCAAAGUCAUUUUGUUGUCGUGGUGGGCAAAUCAGGUUGACACAUGAGGAACCUCCCUUAGAACUCCGGAGGCUGUGGUCAAGCUCAGAUGGCGACGCGAGGCAUUUUCGCGACAACAUUAGGUUCUUCAAUGGACACUUUUCCUUCACCACCCUUGGUGUAAGCCUUGAUAACAAAUAAAGCAAUAUGAGGUCGGGAGUGUACACGUUUCAGGCACACGGACAGAUUUAUCACAACAUACAUUCAUUUGGCCCUAGCGAAUCAUGUGGCCAUUUGCAAUUGUACUUUUACAAUGACGAUCCGGGCUUGCAGCAUCAGUUUCGACACUCCUAG